AACGAACGCUGGCGGCAGGCCUAACACAUGCAAGUCGAGCGAGAACUUCGGGUCUAGCGGCGGACGGGUGAGUAACGCGUGGGAAUAUGCCUCUGUGUACGGAAUAGCCUCGGGAAACUGGGAGUAAUACGGAAUGUGCGCUAUGGGGGAAAGAUUUAUCGCCACGAUAUUAGCCCGCGUUGGAUUAGGUAGUUGGUGGGGUAAUGGCCUACCAAGCCGACGAUCCAUAGCUGGUUUGAGAGGAUGAUCAGCCACACUGGGACUGAGACACGGCCCAGACUCCUACGGGAGGCAGCAGUGGGGAAUCUUAGACCAUGGCGGCAACCCUGAUCGAGCCAUGCCGGGUGAGUGAUGAAGGCCUUAGGGUUGUAAAGCUCUUUCAGCUGGGAAGAUAAUGACGGUACCAGCAGAAGAAGCCCCGGCUAACUCCGUG
rnacentral:rRNA from 1 species